rnacentral:rRNA from 1 species
AUUGAACGCUGGCGGCAUGCUUUACACAUGCAAGUCGAACGGCAGCGCGGGGGCAACCCUGGCGGCGAGUGGCGAACGGGUGAGUAAUGUAUCGGAACGUAUCCUGUAAUGGGGGAUAACCAGUCGAAAGAUUGGGUAAUACCGCAUACGCACGAGAGUGGAAAGUGGAGGAUCGCAAGACUUCACGUUAUAGGAGCGGCCGAUAUCUGAUUAGCUAGUUGGUGGGGUAAAGGCCUACCAAGGCGACGAUCAGUAGCUGGUCUGAGAGGACGACCAGCCACACUGGGACUGAGACACGGCCCAGACUCCUACGGGAGGCAGCAGUGGGGAAUUUUGGACAAUGGGCGCAAGCCUGAUCCAGCCAUUCCGCGUGCAGGAUGAAGGCCU